rnacentral:rRNA from 1 species
GACGAACGCUGGCGGCGUGCUUAACACAUGCAAGUCGAACGCUGAACCCGCUUCGGUGGGGGAUGAGUGGCGAACGGGUGAGUAACACGUGGGCAACCUGCCCCCGGCUCUGGGAUAACUCCAAGAAAUUGGGGCUAAUACCGGAUGUGACCGCUGGCCGCAUGGUCUGAUGGUGGAAAGGGUUUCCGGCUGGGGAUGGGCCCGCGGCCUAUCAGCUUGUUGGUGGGGUAGUGGCCUACCAAGGCGACGACGGGUAGCCGGCCUGAGAGGGUGACCGGCCACACUGGGACUGAGACACGGCCCAGACUCCUACGGGAGGCAGCAGUGGGGAAUAUUGCGCAAUGGGCGGAAGCCUGACGCAGCGACGCCGCGUGGGGGAUGACGGCCUUCGGGUUGUAAACCUCUUUCAGCAGGGACGAAGCGCAAGUGACGGUACCUGCAGAAGAAGCACCGGCCAACUACGUG